rnacentral:rRNA from 1 species
AGAGUGAACGCUGGCGGUAGGCCUAACACAUGCAAGUCGAACGGCAGCACAGGAGAGCUUGCUCUCUGGGUGGCGAGUGGCGGACGGGUGAGGAAUACAUCGGAAUCUACCUUUUCGUGGGGGAUAACGUAGGGAAACUUACGCUAAUACCGCAUAAGACCUUCGGGUGAAAGCCGGGGACCUUCGGGCCUGGCGCGGAUAGAUGAGCCGAUGUCGGAUUAGCUUGUUGGCGGGGUAAAAGCCCACCAAGGCGACGAUCCGUAGCUGGUCUGAGAGGAUGAUCAGCCACACUGGAACUG